UGGGGAAUAUUGGACAAUGGGCGAAAGCCUGAUCCAGCCAUGCCGCGUGUGUGAAGAAGGUCUUCGGAUUGUAAAGCACUUUAAGUUGGGAGGAAGGGCAUUAACCUAAUACGUUAGUGUUUUGACGUUACCGACAGAAUAAGCACCGGCUAACUCUGUGCCAGCAGCCGCGGUAAUACAGAGGGUGCAAGCGUUAAUCGGAAUUACUGGGCGUAAAGCGCGCGUAGGUGGUUUGGUAAGUUGGAUGUGAAAGCCCCGGGCUCAACCUGGGAACUGCAUCCAAAACUGGCAAGCUAGAGUACGGUAGAGGGUGGUGGAAUUUCCUGUGUAGCGGUGAAAUGCGUAGAUAUAGGAAGGAACACCAGUGGCGAAGGCGACCACCUGGACUGAUACUGACACUGAGGUGCGAAAGCGUGGGGAGCAAACA
rnacentral:rRNA from 1 species